rfam:Hydrogenophaga sp. PBC, complete genome.
GCUCAGAGUAGAAGCGUUCAGCCCGCGUCACGCGAGCAGGAAAUUGCUCUUGAG